AGCGAACGCUGGCGGCAGGCCUAACACAUGCAAGUCGAACGAACUCUUCGGAGUUAGUGGCGGACGGGUGAGUAACACGUGGGAACGUGCCUUUUGGUUCGGAAUAACUCAGGGAAACUUGUGCUAAUACCGAAUGUGCCCUUCGGGGGAAAGAUUUAUCGCCAUUAGGGCGGCCCGCGUCUGAUUAGCUAGUUGGGGAGGUAACGGCUCACCAAGGCGACGAUCAGUAGCUGGUCUGAGAGGAUGACCAGCCACACUGGGACUGAGACACGGCCCAGACUCCUACGGGAGGCAGCAGUGGGGAAUCUUGCGCAAUGGGCGAAAGCCUGACGCAGCCAUGCCGCGUGAAUGAUGAAGGUCUUAGGAUUGUAAAAUUCUUUCACCGGGGACGAUAAUGACGGUACCCGGAGAAGAAGCCCCGGCUAACUUCGUG
rnacentral:rRNA from 1 species